GCGGGGGUACCAAAGCGGCCUAAUGGGACCGCCUGCAGAGCGGUUUUACAUGGGUUCGAAUCCCAUCCCCCGCU
rnacentral:tRNA from 1 species